rnacentral:misc_RNA from 1 species
AAGUCGUAACAAGGUUUCCGUAGGUGAACCUGCGGAAGGAUCAUUAAAGGUGAACGUUGCCCGAAAAGGCACGUUUUCUUCAAACUCGAACCGUCGUGCACUUGUUUGUCACGGGUUUGCAUUUGUGAGCUUUGUUGGUGAGAGAGAAUUUUGUUUCUUUCUCACUGCAAAGCUUGAAAAGGAGCUUUUGAACUCUCUGCAGUUCAACAUCUCAGUGUAGGGCAGUGAGAUGACACUUUUGUGGUGUGGCUCUGAAAUACAAAUGCUUACUCGGUUAAUUCUUUGCUCUACAUUCUUCCAUCAUUCAAACUUUAUAAACCCCAUGUACAACAAGUUGAACUAAAUCACAUUUGCUCUCUUUUUCAAUGAGAGCGAAUGGCCAAAACCGAACUUAAGAACAACUCUUAACAACGGAUAUCUUGGUUCUC